CCUACGGGUGGCAGCAGUGAGGAAUAUUGGUCAAUGGUCGAGAGUCUGAACCAGCCAAGCAGCGUGAAGGAUGAAGGUACUGUGUAUUGUAAACCUCUUUUUUCUGGGAACAAAGUCUUGGACGUGUCCCCUGAUGAAUGUACCAGAAGAAAAAGGAUCGGCUAACUCCGUGCCAGCAGCCGCGGUAAUACGGAGGAUCCGAGCGUUAUCCGGAUUUAUUGGGUUUAAAGGGUGCGGAGGCGGUCUUUUAAGUCAGGUGUUAAAGCUUGGGGCGCAACCGUAAAACUGCAGUUGAGACUGGCAGUCUUGAGUAGGGGAGAGGUAGGCGGAAUGCGGGGUGUAGCGGUGAAAUGCUUAGAUAUCACGAAGAACUCCGAUUGCGAAGGCAGCAUGCUGG
rnacentral:rRNA from 1 species